rnacentral:lncRNA from 1 species
CAGAGCUAGCAGAAGACACAAAAUAACCAAAUCAGAGCUGAACUGACUAAAACUUAUUUGCACAAAAACAUACAAAAGGUCAAUUAGUCCAGGUUGGUUCUUCAAAACAAUAAAUAAGAUUGAUAGACUGCUAGCUACAUUAAUAAAGAGAUAAGAUAAAAAUAAACACAAUCAGAAAUGACAAAAGGGACAUUACUACUGACUCCACAGAAAUACAAAAAAAAAAACAACCCUUACAGACUACUUUGAACACCUAUAUGCAUAAAAACUAGAAAACCUCGAAUAAAUGAAUAAAUUCCUGGAAACAUACAACUCCCCAAGAUUGAACCAGGAAGAAAUUGAAUCCCUGAACAGGCAAAUAAUGAGCUCUGAAAUUGAAUGAGCAAUAAAAAGCAUACAAACAAGAAAAAGCCCAAGACCAGAUUGAUUCACUGCCGAAUUCUACCAGAUGUAUAAAGAAGAACUGAGACCAUUCCUACUGAAACUAUUCCCCAAAAUUGAGGAGGAGAUACUUUUCCCUAACUCAUUCUAUGAGACCAGCAUCAUCCUGAUCCAAAACCUAGCAGAGACAACAACAACAACAAUAACUUCAGGCCAAUUUCUUUGAUGAACAUAGAUGCAAAAAUCCUCAACAAAAUACUAGCAAACUGAAUCCAGCAGAACAUCAAAAAGCUAAUCCAUCAUGAUCAAGUAGGCUUUAUCUCUAGGAUACAAGGUUGGUUGAACAUAUGUUUCAUAUGUUCAUAACAGAACUAAAACAUAACAUAAACAGAACUAAAAACAAGACAUGAUCAUCUCUAUGUAUGCAGAAAGGCUUUCAAUAAAAUUCAACAUCCCUUCAUGAUAAAACCCUCAAUGAACUAGUCGUUGAAGGAACAUACCUCAAAAUAAGAGGCAUAUAUGACAACCCCACAGCCAAUAUCAUAUUGAACAGCCACAAGCUGGAAGCAUUACCCUUGAGGACUGGAUGCCCACUCUUGCCACUCCUAUUCAACAUAAUUCUGUAAGUCCUAGCCAGAGCAAUCAGGCAAGAGAAAGAAAUAAAAGGCAUCUAAACAGGAAGAGGGGAAGUCAAACUAUCUGUUUGCAGAUGAUAUUACUCUGUACCUAGAAAACCCCAUAAUCUGCCCUAAAGCUCCUCGAACUUCAACUUUAGCAAACAAAAUCAGUGUACAAAAUCAUUAGCAUUUCUAUACACCAACAAUGUCCAACUCUGAGAGCCAAGUCAAGUAUGCAAUCCCAUUUACAAUUACAAAAACAGAAACAAAAACCUAGGAAUACAGUUAACCAGGGAGGUGAAAGAUCUCUACAAAGAGAAUUACAAAACACUGCUCAAAUAAUUUAGAGAUGACCCAAACAAAUGGAAAAACAUUCCAUGCUCAUGGAUAGGAAGAAUUGCUAUUGUUAAAAUGGCCAUACUACCAAAGCAAUUUAUAGAUUCAAUGCUAUUCCAAUCAAUCAAUGACAUUCUUCACAGCAUUAGAAAAAACUGUUUUAAAAUUCAUAUGUAACCAAAAUAGAGCCCAAAUAGCCAAGGCAAUUCUGAGGAAAAGUAACAAAGCCAGAGACAUCAUGUUACCUGGCUUCAAACUAUGCUACAUAGCAUACCUGACUUUGAGCGGCUACAGUAACCAAAACAGCAUCGUACUGGUACAAAAUCAGACACAGAGACCAAUAUAACAUAACAAAGAGCCCAGAAAUAAAGCCACACACCUACCACCAUCUGAUCCUUAACAAAGUCAUCAGAAAUAAGCAAUGGGAAAAUAACCCCCUAUUCAAUAAAUGGUGCUGGUAUAACUGGCUAGCCAUAUGCAGAAGAUUGAAACUAGACCCCUUCCUUACAUCAUAUACUAAGCUCAAGAUGGAUUAAAGACUUAAAUGUAAAACCUAAAACUAUAAAAAGUCUUGAAAGCCAGGUGCGGUGGCUCACGCUUGUAAUCCCAACACUUUGGGAGGCCGAGGCGGGCGGAUCAAGAGGUCAGGAGAUCGAGACCAUCUUGGCUAACAUGGUGAAACCCCAUCUCUACUAAAAAUAUAAAAAAUUAGCCGGCUGUGGUGGCGGGCGCCUGUAGUCCUAGCUACUCAGGAGGCUGAGGCAGGAGAAUGGCGUGAACCCGGGAGGCGGAGGUUGCAAUGAGCCGAGAUCAUGCCACUGUACUCCAGCCUGGGCGACAGAGCGUGACUCCGUCUCAAAAAAAAAAAAAAAAAAAAAAAGGAAAAAAAAAGUCUUGAAAAAAGCCUGGGAAAUAGUAUGCUAGACAUUGGCCCUGGCAAAUAUUUUAUGAUGAAGAAACCAAAAGCAAUUGCAACAAUACCAAAAAUUAACUAAUGGAACCUAACUAAAUUAAUAGCUUCUGCACAGCAAAAGAAACUAUCAACAGAGUAAACAUACAGCCUACAGAAUGGGAGAAAAUACUUGCAAACUAUGCAUCCAACAAUGAUCUAAUAUCCAGAAUCUAUAAGGAACUUCAACAAACGUAUAAGCAAAAAACAGCCCUAUUAAAAAGUGGGCAAAGAACAUGAACAGAUACUUUUCAAAAGAAAACAUAUGCGUGGCCAACAAGCAUAUGAAAAAGUGCUCAACAUCACUAAUCAUUAGAUAAAUGCAAAACUACAAUGAGAUACCAUGUCACACCAGUCAGAAGGGCUAAUAUUAAAAAGUCAAAAAUUACAGAUGCUAGCGAGGUUGUGGAGGAAAGGAAAUGCUUAUACACUUCUGGUGGGAAUGUAAAUUACUUCAGACAUCGUGGAAAGCAGUGUGGUGAUUUCUCAAAGGACUUAAAAUGGAAUUUCCAUUCAACCCAGCCAUCCCAUUAUUGGGUAUAUACUCAAAGGAAUAUAAAUUAUUCUACUAUAAAGUGACAUGCACACAUUCCACAGCACUAUUCACAAUAGCAAACGCAUGGAAUCAUCCUAAAUGCUCAUCAAUGGUAGACUGGAUAAACAAAACGUAGUACAUACACACCACGGAAUACUACACAACCAUAAAAAGAAUGAGAGCAUGUUCUUUGCAGCAGCAUAGAUGGAGCUGGAGGCCACUAUCUUAAGUGAACUAAUACAGGAACAGAAAACCAAAUACAACAUGUUCUCACCUGUAAGUGGGAGAUAAACAUGAGUACACGUGGACACGUGUACUUGAGAAUAGAGGGUGGGAGAGGACUGAAAAACUACCUAUCAUGUACUAUGCUUGUUACCUGGAUGAUGAGAUAAUCUGUACACCCAACCCCUGUGACAAGCAAUUUACCUAUAUAACAAACCAGCAAAUAUACCCCUGAGCCCCUAGCCUAAAGUAAAAGUUUAAAAAGUAUUAAGUGAAUAAAGAAAUGAAUUAUACUUGAAUAUAAAAAUAAAAGAAAUAGCAACUCUCAUACUGGGAUAUUAGGAGUAUAUCUGAUAAAUAUUAUUCUGAUUUCAUUAUAUUAAUAUAAAAUUUUAGAGUAUCUGAGAUUUUAAAAGGAUGCUUUCAAAAUCUUAUUAAGAAAUUCUUGCCAAGACAUUUGUGUAUAUGAGCAAGUGUUACAAAUAU